UACCAGCACCCCGAGUGGUCGGGACGUUUAUUGGGCCUAAAGCAUCCGUAGCCGGUUCUGCAAGUCUUCCGUUAAAUCCUCCUGCUUAACAGAUGGGCUGCGGAAGAUACUAUAGAGCUAGGAGGCGGGAGAGGCAAGCGGUACUCGAUGGGUAGGGGUAAAAUCCGUUGAUCCAUUGAAGACCACCAGUGGCGAAGGCGGCUUGCCAGAACGCGCUCGACGGUGAGGGAUGAAAGCUGGGGGAGCAAACCGG
rnacentral:rRNA from 1 species